AGUUUUCGCACUCUAACUUUAGUAAAAGUGAAUGGAAAUCUGUGAAAUUUGAACACAAGGUUUAUGACCACAAAAGGAAGGUUGGUAUUGAUUUUGGGAGUUUUGUUCCCAACAUUUUAGGAAUUAGGGGCCAAAAAGGGCCCAAAUAAGCAUUUUCUUGGUUUUCGCACUAUAACUUAAGUUUAAGUGUAUAGAAAUCUAUGAAAUUUUGACACAAG
rnacentral:lncRNA from 1 species